CCGAAAUGUGAUAUUAUUUAGGUAUUGAGAAGGAUUCAGAAAGAUUCAAAAAUUUCAAUUCAUUUCAAUCUUUUUCAAUCCCACACUUGAUCCGAAAUGUCGGAUUAUUUAGGUAUUGAGAAGGAUUCAGAAAGAUUAAAAAUAUCAAUUCAUUUGAAUCUUUUUCAAUUCCUCGGAAGUUCAGAAAUUCUUUUAUUAUUUUGGGAUUGAAAAGUAUUCAUUUUAUGUCAAAAUGAAUACCUUGGGGUAUAGAAAGUAUUCGAAAGGAUUCAUUUCCCAUCUUUUUCAAUACUUUUCAAUUCACUUUUUUAAUCAGGGUUAUGUUACUACAGUUGUCAUUGCGGCGACCACAAAGUGUAGUAAAAUUUUUACUAGUUUGGUGUGGUAAAUUCUACUCCAGCAUUUUUUCCCGUGUAGAGAACUAUAGAGAAGCCAUGGCUGUUAUAAGUCCAUACAUAAGUCUAUAUAUGAUCAGAUCUAUUUAUAUAUAAGUCUAUACAUGAUUAGAUCUGUUCAGACAUGGCUAAUAUAAAUUCAUGUAUAGUCGUGCAUAAGUUUAUAUAUGAUUGGAUCUGAUCAGACAUGACUGAUAUAAACUUAUAUGUAAUUAUAUAUGUCUAUGUAUGAUUAAAUCUGAUCAGACUUUAUUGAUAUGAAACCAAUAAAUAUUUAAUUAUGUAUAUAGUUCCAAUACAAUGUAUAUAUAUAUAUAUUAAAUGAUAUGACAAUUUUUUAAUAUCAAAGUUAUUAAAUUUUUAUUCUGUCAACUAUCAAUCAAACUUAAAUCCCCAAUACUUAAAAAAUGUUCCAAGGUUUCGGCAGCAAUUUAAAAGUAUAAAGUAUCAAUUUGAUUAUUUGAGUUCAGUAAUGCCAUGAACUUCUCUUAAUUAUAAGUGUAGAACAGACUAGAGGAUCAGUCUACAAUCCAUCGAUAACCAAUGUUAAACAGCAUCGGCAUGGGACAUUAAUUGGACGGGUGACCUCGUAGUAAAAUAGUAGUCAACGGAUAAUAAUUUUUUUUUUUUAUUAUUUAAUUUUAGCCGACAUUUAUAUUGAUAAAGGCAAUGAAUCCUAAUUAAAUUACUUAAUUAUUAAUUUACAGAUAUUCUAAAUGAGAUUCUAAAAAUGACUAUAUUUGUUCAUGCAUGGUUAUCUAUAAUCAUAUCUGUUCAUAUAUAAACAGAUCAAGUUAUGUAUGAUCAGACCUGGCCAAUUUUUGGAUCUGAUCAUAUAUAGACAAUUAUGCAUGAUCAUAUAUGAUUAGACAAAAUCUUUUUUCAUCGGGUAGUGUUUUCAAAAAAGGACUGACAUUAAUGUCGGCGAUAGUAUAUGUGAAAUAGUUAUUUUAAAUUUAAUAUUUAAAAUCUCAUUUUACGUAUGGAAUCAUUUUAUACCAAUUACAAGUAAUUGUGCAAAGUGUUAAUAUUGCCCAGUUCAGUAUAAUACUAAAAAAACAACGUCAUCAUUAAGGUACCACGUGAAAAAUAAACAUCCUGACAAAUUUCAAUCAGUCAUUCCGAUUGACGAGUCAUAUUCUAGUUCUGAGUAAGUCAAUUUUUUUUUACCGAUUACUUUUAUGCUAAUUUCGUUUAAACUUUUUUUUAUAAUAAAAGAACAUAUCUUAUAGCUGUAAUUUUAAUUUUAGUAAUUGUAAUUAAUUAAUUCAAAAUUCAUAUUUAGAGUCAACGAUGAGUCCGAUCCCGAAUUGUCUGAGGUACCAAAAAAAUGUCAGAAAAUAUCUACCAAGAAACAUUACUGCCGUGUUAAUCCCAAAUCUGAAGCAAUCACUGGAUCAAUUGUAAAAAUGAUAGCAGUUGACAUGCUGCCGUUAUCAUUUGGAGAAGGUUCUGGAUUUUUGCAGUUUCUUUGAACUGUUUGCCCAGAUUAUACUAUGCCAAGUAAAAUGGUUGUACAAAAUCGUUUACAAGGCAUUUAUGAUUCUGUACGCAAUAAAAUUCUUACGUCUCUUAACCGUUUCCCAACUGUCGCUAUCACAACUGAUGCUUGGUCAUCACGUAGUAAUAUUCCAUUCAUCACGAUCACAGCACAUGCUAUUGAUGACUCAUGGAAUUUACGUUCUUUUACGUUUGAUACCUUAGAAAUGUCAGAAUCACAUAAUGCGUCAAAUUUACAUGACCAUCUAUAUAGAGCAUUGACAGAAUGGAAUUUGAAUGAAAAAUGUAUUGCUGUUGUACAUGACAAUGCACCGAAUAUUGUUGCUGCAUACGCGAUAAUUCCAGUGAUGAUAAUAACAUUGGGGAAAGUGUCCGCUGCUUUUGCCACACACUACAAUGUGCAGUUGAAAGAGCAUUAAAAGAAAAAAAUCGAAAUGUAUAUCUCCCCAAAGUUUGUGCUAUUGUUGGUCAUUUUAAACAUUCUAAUAAAGUUACUUCAGCCCUUUCUAUUGCUCCGAAAAAAUUUCAUUUACCAAACCACCGAUUGAUCAGCUAUUGCACAACGCGUUGAAAUUCUGCAUUCGCCAUGAUCGAGCGUGCAAUAGAACAACGUCAGGCAGUCGAAUUUGUUCUAUUAGAUUCUGAGUUGACGACUACAGAAAUGAAGAAAAAAUCGCUUUUAAAAAAUAGCGAGUGCAUUAUAUAGAAGCCGUAAUGAAGCUUUUAAAACCGUUUGAUGUUGCAACAAGAUUAAUGUCUGCCGAACCUCAAUCUACGAUUUCAAUAGGACGACAAACUGUUCAUUCUAUUUGCAACAAAUUUUUACAACAUGACGAUGACGACAUUCUGAAUAUCCAGAUGCUAAAAGAUAUACUGCGAGAAGAACUGGAAGUUCGUUUUUUGAAUCAAGAACCUGUGACUGUGGGUGGCUUAGCAUGCUUCCUAGAUCCAAGAUGUAAAGACAUGGCUGACGAAACUCAACAUUAUCGUGAAGCUGUUAAAGAAGAGUUAUUGGAGCUGACGAUAAAAGAAGACACUUGUGAUGAAAAAACUCAAUCGUUAAGCAAAAAUCAAAGAGCAGAAGAUUGGAAUUAUUUUUUCAGUCCAGAACGGGCUCUAUCUGACAGCUUUGAGAGGAUGUCAAGUUUUGAUGAUUCACCGAGUACAUGAGUUGCGACCAACUUGACGAUGAGUUGUCGACAACUUUCAGCUUUUGUAACUGUUGACUGCAAAUUGUCUCCAAGUCUUCCAGAAAUUUGGCGACAAUCUAGUGCUGCAAUCUGUCGAAAACUUUCUGAGAAACUUGUAGUCAACUUGCAGUCAACGGUUACAAAAGUUAAUAGCUGUCGACAACUUUCUCAGAAAGUUGCCAUUAACUUAUGGAAAUGUCAACUUGGUGACAGGUUGCGGCAGUAAAUUGUCGUCAAGUUGCGGCCAACUCGGCUAUCAGGGGUCAAAGAAUUGAAGUAACAGUCGAUAUUAUAACUGGUGACGUAAAACAAAAACCUAUCUGAUAUUUCUCAAUAUUUAUUUUGGCACUCGCUACAUUUAUGAAAUCACAAAGUAACAGCUAAUUGUUGUUUUGAAAAGAUCGAUUAUUAUCGAUGCGAUUGCUUGAGUGACUUUAACGCUUAUAGAACCCAGCAAGAAAAGCUAAACUAAAUUUAGCUUUAUCGCUACGUUUUUUCUGGGUGGCGCUCAUGUUAACAGAGGUAACAAAAUUGAAGAACUGUUUACUACUAUCGGUAUUGAAAAUCACGGAACGAUCAACCAUCGCUCUGAAAUACUACAAACACACACGAUAUUAUGGUAGUGUUUUCAUAGAAAAAAAUGACAUGCAAUAAAAAAAGGGACCAGCGACACAAACUUGUCCCAACCUCCUGUUAUGUCGUCAGUGGCCUCAGGUGCCUCCAUCUGUUAAUUAAUUAGUGAACUUGAGAUCCAUAAAUAGGCGCGCAUUUAAAUUUCAUUUGAAAUUAUAUAUUAAUAUCUUACAACACUUAUUGCGUCUUAUCAAUAUUUAGUCAAUUAUUUAAAUAAUAAAUCGUCGUGGCACAUAAUCAUUAAAUUCUAUAUUUUAUUACAAAAAAGUUUAAAUAAAUAGAUAGAUAAAUCUUUAUUUUGUAUUCAGAGAAGUAUAAAUACAGUUUGAGUGGUCUUGGAACGUUUCCUGUCACCCGAUACUUAAAACCUAAACAAAACACACGCAUAAAAUCAUGAAUAGGCCCUUGUUCUAUAGUUAACAGUAAAUAUGGUUAUAAACAAAUGUAUACUCUAUAAACAAAUAAGAAAAGGAAAUAUUCAAUAAAUAAAUGUUACUUAUAAAUGAAAACCAUAUCACAAGAACUCAACUAUUGUUAAUAUAUAUACAUAUUAAAUAAAGAGUGACUCGUAUAAUAAAUAAAUUAAUAGAAAUAUAGAAAUAUAGCAUUAGAAUAAUUAUAAUGGUGUUUCUUGAUAAAUAAUAAUGUCAAUCGUAUUGAAUAAUUAAAUAUAGAAUAAUCAACUAAAAGAUUGUAUUUAAGUACAGGAAAAUGGAAUGUAAAUGAUAUAAGUAAUAAGUAAAGUUAUAGAACGGAUAAAUAAAAAACGUAGGUGUGUAAGCUCAUAUCUCAUACGUGUAUUAGUAAAAAGUAUAAAUGUAUAAGUAUAUAAUUAGAACGAACGUUGAUAUGUACAAGUACCCAAUGGUGGGAGAAGUCGAAGAGUGGAGAGUCAGAGAUCUCUCUGCCAGCUGAUGUAACUUCACUCCUCUCCGAGAACUAUUGACGAGCACAACUGUUAUUACUGAUCAAAUCUUAUCUACACUUUAUAAUAAAACUCAGUCUUUAGAUUAAAGUUAUUUUAUCAAUUGCAUCUAUUCUUACCCAUAAUUUCAUUAUUUCAUUAAAUAAUAAUAAUCAUCAUCAUAGUUAACAAUAAAUUUAUCACUGUUUUCAAAUUCAAAAUUGGUCCCGCGUGACAACGAACUGUCCAGGAGGUGGUGUCAGCUCCGAUCCUAGUAACCUCCCAGGACAUAACACUCCCUAUUCUAGUAACUGUUAUGUCCUCAGUGGCCUCAGGUGCCUCCACCUGUUAAUUAAUUAGUGAACUUGACAUCCAUAAAUAGGCGCGCAUUUAAAUUUCAUUUAAAAUUAUAUAUUAAUAUCUUACAACACUUAUUCCGUCUUAUCAAUAUUUAGUCAAUAGUUUAAAUAAUAAAUCGUCGUGGCACAUACUUAUUAAAUUAUAUAUUUUUAUUAUAAGAAACUCUAAAUAAAUAGAUAAAUAAAUCUUUAUUUUGUUUUCAGAGAAAUAUAAAUACAGUUUGAGUGGUCUUGGAACGUUUCCUGUCACCCGAUACUUAAAACCUAAACAAAACACACGCAUAAAAAUCAUGAAUAGGCCCUUGUUCUAUAGUUAACAGUAAAUAUGGUUAUAAACAAAUACAUACUCUAUAAUCAAAUAAGAAAAGAUAUAUUUAAUAAAUAAAUGUUACUUAUAAAUGAAAACCAUAUCACAAGAACUCAAUUAUUAUUGUUAAUAUAUAUACAUAUUAAAUAAAGAGUGACUCGUAUAAUAAAUAAAUUAAUAGAAAUAUAGAAAUAUAACAUUAGAAUAACUAUAAUGAUGUUUCUCGAUAAAUGAUAAUGUCAAUCGAAUCAAUUAAUUAAAUAUAGAAUAAUUAUAAAAGAAUACACCUCUGAUAGUCUAGAAUAUUUAACUGAAAGAUUGCAUCCAAAUACAGGAAAAUAGAAUAUAAAUAAUAUAAGUAAUAAGUAAAGUCAUAGAAUGGGUAAAGUAAAGAACGUAAAUAUGUAAGUUUAUGUCUCGAAUUAGUAUUAGUGAAAAGUAUAAGUAUAUUUGGUAAAGAACAUGGAUAUAAAUAUAUAUAUAUGUAUAUUGUAUGAGCAUGAGUGUGAACAUGAGAGUAGUGGGGAGAAGUUGGAGAGUGGAGGUCAGAGAUCUCUCUGCCGUCUGAUGUAACUUCACUUCUCUCCGAGAACUAUUGACGAGCACAACUGUUAUUACUGAUCAAAUCUAAUCUACACUUUAUAAUAAAACUCAGUCUUCAGAUAAAAGUUAUUUUAUCAAUUACAUCUAUCCUUGUCCAUAGUUUAAUUAUUUCAUUAAAUAAUAAUCAUAAUCAUCAUCAUCAUCAUCAUGGUCAACAAUAAAUUUAUCACUGUUUUCAAGUUCAAGAUUGGUCUCGCGUGACAACGAACUGCCCACUGUCCAGGAGGUGGCGUCAGCUCCGAUCCUAGUAACCUCCCAGGACAUAACAUAACCUUGACAUUUGGUAUUUUACGUUCCCUACCCUGAAAUUGACAAUUUCAAGUUCAUCGAUAACUAUUGGAAAAUAAUGGCAACAAACUAACCCUGAUUGGAAAAUACGAUUAAUGACGAUUAAAAAUGUUUUAAUCGAUUUGAAUCGUCAAUUGAUGAUGAAAGAUGAUUACAAACGAUUAAAUUUUUAAUCAUUUUAAAUCGUUUUUAAUCUUCGUACAGGACCAGAAAUUGCAAUAUUAUUUUACGAUUACCCUGAGCCACACCUUGCUUAGCAAGUUCUCCAGUGAAACAUUUUCGGCUAACUUAACGAGAAAGUUUCUGGCAACCUCGGCUGGACAAUACUUUCCUUUAAGUUGGCUUCAGAAUACGGCAGUAGCUUGAAUGUAACUCGACAAAAAAAAUUGCCGUCAAUUUGAAGUGAAACUUUCAAUCAACUUAACGUCAUUGUCUGACAGUACCACUUGUGGUCAAAUUGAAUUCAAGUUUACAGACAAUUUACUGUGAACUUAAAGGUAAAUGCUUGCUCUCCAACACUUUCCUUUAUAUUGGCUUCCGAAUACGGCAGUAGCUUGAAAUUAACUUGUGGAUAAAGUGGCUAUCAGAGUAUAUCUAAUGUCAAACCAAAAGUUAACAUUAGUAUGUUUCAAUUAGAGA